UAAGACGAACCGUGCGAACGUUAUUCGGAAUCACUGGGCUUAAAGAGCGCGUAGGCGGCGGCGUAAGUUGGAGGUGAAAUCCCAUCGGCUCAACCGUGGAAUUGCCCCCAAUACUGCGUCGCUCGAGGGGGAUAGGGGCACGUGGAACUUCCAGUGGAGCGGUGAAAUGUGUUGAGAUUGGAAGGAACGCCAGUGGCGAAAGCGACGUGCUGGGUCUUCUCUGACGCUGAGGCGCGAAAGCUAGGGGAGCGAACGGGAUUAGAUACCCCGGUAGUCCUAGCCAUAAACGAUGGGUACUGGGUAGAAAGCGUUCCGAUGGCGCCUUCUGCCGUAGCGAAAGUGUUAAGUACCCCGCCUGGGGAGUAUGGUCGCAAGGCUG
rnacentral:rRNA from 1 species